UGGGUAGUAUCUAUGGAGAGCUACACCUAAUUGUUAUAUUAAAAGAUAAUAUUUUUAAUCGUUGCUCAUAUCGUCAGGAAUGAGACUUUU
rnacentral:ncRNA from 1 species